UACGUAGGUGGCAAGCGUUGUCCGGAAUUACUGGGCGUAAAGGGCCAGUAGGCGGCCAACUAAGUCCGACGUGAAAUCCCCAGGCUUAACCUGGGAACUGCGUCGGAUACUGGACGGCUUGAAUUCGGGAGAGGGAUGCGAGAAUUCCAGGUGUAGCGGUGAAAUGCGUAGAUAUCUGGAGGAAUACCGGUGGCGAAGGCGGCAUCCUGGACCG
rnacentral:rRNA from 1 species